rnacentral:rRNA from 1 species
UGGGGAAUCUUGGACAAUGGGGGCAACCCUGAUCCAGCCAUGCCGCGUGAGUGAUGAAGGCCUUAGGGUCGUAAAGCUCUUUCGCCUGUGAAGAUAAUGACGGUAGCAGGUAAAGAAACCCCGGCUAACUCCGUGCCAGCAGCCGCGGUAAUACGGAGGGGGUUAGCGUUGUUCGGAAUUACUGGGCGUAAAGCGCACGUAGGCGGACCAGAAAGUUGGGGGUGAAAUCCCGGGGGCUCAACCCCGGAACUGCCUCCAAAACUAUUGGUCUAGAGUUCGAGAGAGGUGAGUGGAAUUCCAAGUGUAGAGGUGAAAUUCGUAGAUAUUUGGAGGAACACCAGUGGCGAAGGCGGCUCACUGGCUCGAUACUGACGCUGAGGUGCGAAAGUGUGGGGAGCAAAACAGGAUUAGAUACCCUGGUAGUCCACACCGUAAAACGAUGAAUGCCAGUCGUCGGGUAGCAUGCUAUUCGGUGACACACCUAACGGAUUAAGCAUUCCGCCUGGGGAGUACGGUCGCAAGAUUAAAACUCAAAU